rnacentral:rRNA from 1 species
GAUGAACGCUGGCGGCGUGCCUAAUACAUGCAAGUCGAGCGAACAGAUGAGGAGCUUGCUCCUCUGACGUUAGCGGCGGGCGGGUGAGUAACACGUGGAUAACCUACCUAUAAGACUGGGAUAACUUCGGGAAACCGGAGCUAAUACCGGAUAAUAUAUUGAACCGCAUGGUUCAAUAGUGAAAGACGGUUUUGCUGUCACUUAUAGAUGGAUCCGCGCCGCAUUAGCUAGUUGGUAAGGUAACGGCUUACCAAGGCAACGAUGCGUAGCCGACCUGAGAGGGUGAUCGGCCACACUGGAACUGAGACACGGUCCAGACUCCUACGGGAGGCAGCAGUAGGGAAUCUUCCGCAAUGGGCGAAAGCCUGACGGAGCAACGCCGCGUGAGUGAUGAAGGUCUUCGGACCGUAAAACUCUGUUAUUAGGGAAGAACAAAUGUGUAAGUAACUAUGCACGUCUUGACGGUACCUAAUCAGAAAGCCACGGCUAACUACGUG